rnacentral:misc_RNA from 1 species
GUUUCAAACCAUGUAAGUUUUAUAUUUACUUCACUGUUUUCUCCUAGAGGAAUGUGAGCUUUCCACUUUGCAUUGCAUUAACAAGACUGCUUUGUUCCCUCGAUGCUUUUCAGCAUGUUUGCCUUGUGUGGUCAUUUAGAAAUGUAGGAAUUACUCAUUUAAAAUUAAUGUUAGCAUUAAAGCUAUACUACGUUUUGAGCACAACAAAAUUGAAAUCACCUAAUUUAUGGAAGUACUGCUUUUUUGACGUAGUUGUAUGAAGCUUAUAAUUUCAUAAACCCAAAAGUCAGAGAAGAAAGAAUUUGGUUUUGCCAAUUUCUUAUUUGCUUUUUCCUUAGCAAUUAAGUAUUAUGUCUGGUUCAAGAAUUAGGGUGAAAAAUACUUGCUUAAUGUCAUACUUCAGUAUUUUUAACAUUUUUUAAUAGGUCCAUGCAGAUAAAACGAACUUUAAAAGUUUUCAUUUGUUUGCUUUGUAGGAUAGGUGGAAUAUCAUAAGGAAAGCAGUUUUAUAAUUGGAGAAAUGAAUAUUAUAAGGGAAAGUUGGACUGUAUGUAAUAAAACCAUUUUUGUUCCUGAUGCUUAAUCUUAUAUAUUUGUUGAAUGCUUUGUAUCAAGUGCACAAUAGUAAUGUCAUAUUGUGUUCUAACCUAUGUCUUGUUUCAUAAG